rnacentral:rRNA from 1 species
UACAGAGGUCCCAAGCGUUGUUCGGAAUCACUGGGCGUAAAGGGUGCGUAGGCGGUAUAGUAAGACUUGGGUGAAAUCUCCAUGCUUAACGUGGAGGGAGCCUGGGAGACUGCUGUGCUAGAGGAUUGGAAGGGAGACUGGAAUUCUUGGAGUAGCAGUGAAAUGCGUAGAUAUCAAGAGGAACACCAGUGGCGAAGGCGAGUCUCUGGACAAGACCUGACGCUGAGGCACGAAGGCCAGGGGAUCAAACGGGAUUAGAUACCCCGGUAGUCCUGGCAGUAAACGGUGCACACUUGCUGUGUGAGGGAUCGACCCCUUACGUGGCGAAGCAAACGCGAUAAGUGUGCCGCCUGGGGAGUACGGUCGCAAGACUAAA